rnacentral:rRNA from 1 species
UACGUAGGGGGCAAGCGUUGUCCGGAAUCAUUGGGCGUAAAGAGCGUGUAGGCGGCCCGGUAAGUCCGCUGUGAAAGUCCAGGGCUCAACCCUCGAAUGCCGGUGGAUACUGUCGGGCUAGAGUGCGGAAGAGGCGAGUGGAAUUCCUGGUGUAGCGGUGAAAUGCGCAGAUAUCAGGAGGAACACCGAUUGCGAAGGCAGCUCGCUGGGACGUAACUGACGCUGAGACGCGAAAGCGUGGGGAGCAAACAGG